rnacentral:misc_RNA from 1 species
GAUGAAGAACGUAGCGAAAUGCGAUAAGUAAUGUGAAUUGCAGAAUUCAGUGAAUCAUCGAAUCUUUGAACGCACAUUGCGCCCGCCAAUAUUCUGGCGGGCAUGCCUGUUCGAGCGUCAUUUCAACCCUCAGGCCCCCAGUGCCUGGUGUUGGGGAUCGGCCCAGCCUUCCUGUAAGGCCGCCGGCCCCGAAAUCUAGUGGCGGUCUCGCUGUAGUCCUCCUCUGCGUAGUAGCACAACCUCGCAGUUGGAACGCGGCGGUGGCCAUGCCGUUAAACACCCCACUUCUGAAAGUUGACCUCGGAUCAGGUAGGAAUACCCGCUGAACUUAAGCAUAUCAAUAAGCGGAGGA